rnacentral:rRNA from 1 species
UACGUAGGGACCAAGCGUUGUUCGGAUUUACUGGGCGUAAAGGGCGCGUAGGCGGCGUGUUAAGUCACUUGUGAAAUCUCUAAGCUUAACUUAGCAACGGUCAAGUGAUACUGACGUGCUAGAGUGCAGAAGGGGCAACCGGAAUUCUUGGUGUAGCGGUGAAACUGCGUAGAAUAUCAAGAGGAACACCUGAGGUGAAGACGGGUUGCUGGGCUGACACUGACGCUGAGGCGCGAAAGCUAGGGUAGCAAACGGG